rnacentral:rRNA from 1 species
UACGAAGGGGGCUAGCGUUGCUCGGAAUCACUGGGCGUAAAGCGCGUGUAGGCGGCUAAGUAAGUCGGGCGUGAAAUCCCACGGCUCAACCGUGGAAGUGCACUCGAAACUGCAUAGCUAGAGUCCUGGAGAGGAAGGUGGAAUGCUUGGUGUAGAGGUGAAAUUCGUAGAUAUCAAGCGGAACACCGGUGGCGAAGGCGGCCUUCUGGACAGUGACUGACGCUGAGACGGCGAAAGCGUGGGGAGCAAACAGG